rnacentral:rRNA from 1 species
AACGAACGCUGGCGGCAGGCUUAACACAUGCAAGUCGAACGGAUCCUUCGGGAUUAGUGGCAGACGGGUGAGUAACGCGUGGGAACGUACCCUUUGCUACGGAAUAACUCAGGGAAACUUGAGCUAAUACCGUAUGUGCCCUACGGGGGAAAGAUUUAUCGGCAAAGGAUCGGCCCGCGUUGGAUUAGCUAGUUGGUGGGGUAAUGGCCUACCAAGGCGACGAUCCAUAGCUGGUCUGAGAGGAUGAUCAGCCACACUGGGACUGAGACACGGCCCAGACUCCUACGGGAGGCAGCAGUGGGGAAUAUUGGACAAUGGGCGCAAGCCUGAUCCAGCCAUGCCGCGUGAGUGAUGAAGGUCUUAGGAUUGUAAAGCCCUUUCACCGGUGAAGAUAAUGACGGUAGCCGGAGAAGAAGCCCCGGCUAACUUCGUG